GAUGAAGAACGCAGCGAAAUGCGAUAAGUAAUGUGAAUUGCAGAAUUCAGUGAAUCAUCGAAUCUUUGAACGCACAUUGCGCCCGCCAGUAUUCUGGCGGGCAUGCCUGUUCGAGCGUCAUUUCAACCAUCAAGCCCCAGGCUUGUGUUGGGGACCUGCGGCUGCCGCAGGGCCUGAAAACCAGUGGCGGGCUCGCUGUCACACCGGGCGUAGUAGAUUUUAUCUCGCUCAGGGCGUGCUGCGGGUUCCGGCCGUUAAAAAGCCUUUUUUACCCAAGGUUGACCUCGGAUCAGGUAGGAAGACCCGCUGAACUUAAGCAUAUCAAUAAGCGGAGGA
rnacentral:misc_RNA from 1 species